rnacentral:rRNA from 1 species
GACGUAGGGUGCGAGCGUUGUCCGGAUUUAUUGGGCGUAAAGAGCUCGUAGGCGGUCUGUUGCGUCCGCUGUGAAAACUCGGGGCUUAACCCCGAGCCUGCAGUGGAUACGGGCAGACUAGAGGUAGGUAGGGGAGAAUGGAAUUCCCGGUGUAGCGGUGAAAUGCGCAGAUAUCAGGAGGAACACCGGUGGCGAAGGCGGGUCUCUGGGCCGAUACUGACGCUGAGGAGCGAAAGCGUGGGGAGCGAACAGG